UGAGGGAGCGCGGGCGGCCAUUUUGUGGCGCUGGGUAGGGGCGCGGAUGGGGGAGGGGAGGAGAGAGGAAGGCUUCGCUGAGAGACGAUGAAGACGGGCAGAGGCUUCCCUUCCCUCACGCGCACACACGGCGCAAGAUGGCCGGGGAGGCAGCAGCUCCGGUGGGCUGCUGCUGCUGCUGCUGCUGCUGCUGCGCUUCCUCCUCGGGCGCGGCUCUCCCUCCGAGCUGCCUCGGCCCGAGGCGGCCAAUGGCUCGCGGGGGCUCCGGCCGGGCCCAGGCUCCUGAGGGGUGGUGGUCUGUCUCGCCUCAGACACAGAGCCGGAGGCGGAACGGCCACAGCGGGGCUCGCCCGCGCCUCCUGCCUCCGCGGUGGGGCGGCCGGGAGAACCGCCGCCGCCGCGACCCCGGCUCGGCGCGCCUGCCUGACCCGCGUCCGUUGAGGAUGGUAUUCUAUGAAUGUUGACCACUUCCAUAAGUAAUGGCGUUCAAGAACUGUACAGAAUUAUUUUUUGUUAAGGUUUCUCUCCGGUCUGAUCGCGUGGAAGAUUCAUGUGGAGAUAGAAGAGAACAUGCUAACUGUUUCAGAAGUUUACAUAUACAAAACUGAAGACUAUCAUAAUGAAAGUCCAGACAAAGGAAGAAUCUCAAAGGGAGACCACACGAGUUCCAAAUCAAGAUGGCAGUUCCACUGAUUGAGAGGUUGAGGAAAUGAACUAAUGCAUGAUUGCUGAGUUUGUCCGUCCAAGACAGGGACACUUUAGCAUGGACUACGGUGUUUACUAAACCAGAGAAGAUUUGGGCUAAUGACCAUCUGAUAAAUGUUUUUUUCUCAUUAAAUGAUUCCAAUCUCUUGUAUGAGAACUCAUUUGGAAGUGGAAAGAUGGUAUGAGUUGACUGAAUUUUUAAACCAGGAAUGUAUUCAUAUGUUUGUCCCUGUUUUGCUUGACAGAAGUGCAAUGCUAUUUUAAAUGGUUAAAUAAAAGUGUUUUUUACAUUUUUA